rnacentral:misc_RNA from 1 species
UGGGCUCCACAGGUGUUCAAUUGUGGUGCGCCUGACACUGGAAAUAUGGAGGUAUUGCUGCGAUAUGGGAACAAAGAACAACUACUCAAAUGGCUUAUACCAAUUCUUGAGGGAAGGAUUCGUUCUGGAUUUGCAAUGACGGAACCACAAGUUGCAUCAGCUGAUGCUACAAAUAUUGAGUGUUCUAUUAGAAGGCAAGGGGAUUCCUAUAUCAUCAAUGGGAACAAGUGGUGGACGAGUGGAGCUAUGGAUCCAAGGUGUAGACUUCUUAUAGUAAUGGGAAAAACUGACUUCACCACUGCUAAGCAUAAGCAGCAAUCCAUGAUCUUGGUGGAUAUUCAGACUCCAGGCAUACACAUAGAGAGACCACUCAUGGUCUUUGGCUUUGAUGAUGCACCUCAUGGUCAUGCUGAAAUUUCAUUUGAAAAUGUACGUGUGCCUGCAAAAAAUAUCCUCCUGGGAGAAGGACGUGGAUUUGAGAUUGCUCAGGGUAGACUGGGCCCGGGAAGAUUGCAUCAUUGCAUGAGAUUGAUAGGUGCUGCUGAGCGUGGAAUGCAAUUGAUGGUUGAAAGGGCUCUCAGUAGAAGAGCAUUUGGAAAAUUGAUUUCUGAACAUGGUUCAUUUCGUUCAGACAUUGCCAA